rnacentral:tRNA from 1 species
GCCCUCGUGGCGGAACUUGGUAUACGCGCAGCGCUUAGGACGCUGUUCCCGCAAGGGAUUAGAGGUUCAAAUCCUCUCGAGGGCA